rnacentral:lncRNA from 1 species
AGGGGAUUUAACUAUAAAUAGGACAAUUACAAAUAAACUUACAGGAACAAUAGGUUGAAGAGGACCCUGCUCAAUCGAGCUUACAUUCUAUAGGAGGUGGGGUGUAAAACACAUUAGGACAGGAAUUUGCAAUCAAAUAAGGUGGGCUGCCGUUUAGGAGAAGGCAAGACAGGUAUGUGAGGUAGGGGUUAGUCUUGGAGGCCAUAAGCUUUCCUAAAGAGAUGGGUUUUAAGGCACUUCUUAAAAGAUGCAAGACUAGGG